CAGCCGCCGCGGUAAUACGUAGGGUGCGAGCGUUAAUCGGAUUUACUGGGCGUAAAGCGUGCGCAGGCGGCCCGUUAAGACAGGUGUGAAAUCCCUGGGCUCAACCUAGGAAUUGCGCUUGUGACUGGCGGGCUCGAGUACGGUAGAGGGGGUGGAAUUCCUGGUGUAGCAGUGAAAUGCGUAGAGAUCAGGAGGAACACCGAUGGCGAAGGCAGCCCCCUGGGCCUGUACUGACGCUCAUGCACGAAAGCGUGGGGAGCAAACAGGAUUAGAUACCCUGGUAGUCCACGCCCUAAACGAUGGGUACUAGCCGUUUGGUGCGCGAUAGCGCUGAGUGGCGAAGCUAACGCGUGAAGUACCCCGCCUGGGGAGUACGGCCGCAAGGUUGAAACUUAAAGGAAUUGGCGGG
rnacentral:rRNA from 1 species